rfam:Candidate division Zixibacteria bacterium RBG_16_43_9 RBG_16_scaffold_21079, whole genome shotgun sequence.
GCCCCUGUAGCUCAGUUGGAUAGAGCAGCGGCCUCCGGAGCCGCGAGCACCCGUUCAAGUCGGGUCAGGGGUA